UAUCACAUAAUACCUCUCAUAAUACAUUUCAUGUUUAAUGAUGCAUGUUCGGUGGUGUAACUUUGGAAGAUCCAAAACAUGAUUCUGGAUGGAUUUAAUACUUAAUGUAGCAACAUUACUGUAGUACACCAUCCUUUAAUAUUGGAUAAGAAGAAGAAGAAUAUUUGCUGUAUCUAGAAAGUACUUAGUAUUUCUGGAAUUAGGAGACAUAAUUUACCACUCACAAUGAAGUAAUCAAAACAAAAUAUUAUUAUUGUUAACUAAUUAAUCUAAUUUUUACAGCUCUGCAGAGGACUGCACACCAUCCUGCAUCCACAGCCAAAGCCUGUGUAAGUGAAAACUGAUCUGUUUUUUAUUUUGCAUCAUCUGCUUUUCUUUCUUGCUUCUGCAGUGUUUUAUUAUCCAAAUUCAUUUUUAUUCAUGCAGUUUUUGUUCUGUGCUGCUGUGUCCAUGUGCAACUUUAAAUGUCUUACUUGGCUGAAGCAGGUAAAACUUAAAGGAACAAUAGGAAACCUAAAAUAAUGAUUUUUAAUAACAGAAUAAGGUCCAGUGAAGAUGAUGAGUAGCAGAAGUAGCUAAAUUAUCCCUUAUAUCAAUUUUAAAGAUAAAGGUUGGACGCAUCCAACUUUGAAAUUGGGCCAGCCAUGAAUAAAAUUGAUCAUCUGAACAAAAAGCACAUCUUUUCCAUGCAUCUUUCUUUUAAAAAAAAAAAAAAAAAAAAAAGCAAAAUAGGAGGGAAAGAAAUAUUUAUGCAGAUUUUGCUCCCAGCUCUAGAUAUAAUAACACAUAAUUGUGGAAUAGGUGAUUGCAAGUAUUAAUAUUGCUAUGGUUAAAUUUACUUUACAACAUGAGGAAUUAGUCCAGCCAUCUUAUCAGGGUCUCUGAUACAGUAUUAUUCACCAUCAGCUGAGAAAUCAAUAUGAUACCCCUGAGUAUUGAGAAAUGUUUACAUCUAAAAUAAACCCAUUCCACAAAGAGGACAGUUCUGAGUAGGGAAAGUUUGAGUGCACAUUUUUAAGGUGUUAUGCUGACCUUAGAGUGGGCUUGCAGAAAGUACCCCUAAAUAAUACAAGCAGGGAAAGUACAGAUUGCAGGAUGUUUAUUUUUUUUCAGGUAAUCAGCACAAAUGUGUGACUUGGAAGAUAAACUAGCAAAACUGAAAUGUGUCCAAAGGUGAGUCUGCAGAUUACACAAGUCUUUAUUUUGAGAGAUUAAAGUCCUCAAAAUCAAGAUAAGCUUACUUUAUAGACUUAUCUAUGAAGUAGAAACUGAUCUCCUGCCAAAUAAAGUUGUACCUUAUCAAAUAGUUGUAAUACGCUGAUAACAAACAUAUUUCUGUGCUUUAGAUUAUCAGUUACAUUUAUCGUUAUUAUAAUUUUGUAUUUAACUUUAUUUUAAUAAAUCAUGACUACUUCCCAUUCUAAUCAGCAGGACGAAACAGUGUGAUGAUGUGGGUCAUGAUGCUCAGAGCGCACUUCACUGGACAUCUGUGGGAGAUGCAUGGCAGGAACCUGGCACCGGUUGACUGUCUUUCUUUGGCUGUGUUUGUGCAUGCAUGGACUGGAUGCCUGAGUGAAAAACUUAAAUACAGAAAAAUCUCUGGGAAGGAAACAGCUCAUACUCCACCACAGAAACCCCUGCACCAGUUAACACGUGCAUGACUCCAAGUGACGAAACGCUACGUCCAGAUGAACAGAAUCAACUUUUGGAGAUUUACUUACCUUGAUGAUUGAGAAUGCAUCAAGAUACUUCCUAAAACUUUUUUUUUUUAAUCUGAACAGUUAAAACUUAAAACACUGCUUAUAAAAUAUUGGUGUCAGUGUC